CGCAACUUCACAUGCCCGGAUACAGAAGGUAUGAUUGUUCUGAUAUCGUUAGCUACAUGGGUGGUGUGAACUGUGGCAAAACGACAAUGACAAGAAUCUGAAUGCACUUAAGAAGCAUAAUCUUGUAAGGUCCAGGCCACUGGUGAGGACUUUUCUGUUGAGCCAUCUGAUGAGAGGAGGCCGUUCAACUACACAUUUUUACAGUAU